rnacentral:sRNA from 2 species
GCCCACAACUAAAAACGCUACGAAAGUAUAACAAGAAAAUAGCAAUCAUCAUAAUCUGAAUACAAUUAUCUGCAAUCUCCUUUAUAUUGAUUUCCACCUUCUAGCUCUAUAAUCUUUUAACCCCAGUGGCUGAAUGAAUAAUGCGGUCACCAGGUAGUGCCUUGGUGUGGGCAUCCAAGGUGUGUGGGUUCAAAACCCACAGGGAACAACUGUAACGGGCGUGCCAUCGAUUAACUAGGCACUACCUUGGUUGCGGAUUAUAUGUACCAUUCGUACCGCCUGAAAGGUUCGUAUGAUCUACCGGCGUCACCAAUGGGCUAGACACUAUUCUAAAUAUAGAUUGCAAAUCGAUUAAGAAAGGAAAGAGAGAGAUCAGAAGAAAAGAUCAUAUGAAGAGAGUUCUUAUAGAGAAGAAAUCAGAAUAGAAGAAUAUCAGAGAUGGUACUAUAGUGAAGCACAG